UGGUAGUUUGGUUGAUGGUAUUGGGUGUAUUAUGUUUGUUGUUGGUAGGGUUAUGUAUAUUGAGUUUGUGGUUCAUAUUGGGUGGAAGUCGAAGUUUGUGUAUAAUGUUGGUUGGGAGGGAUUCUUGUUUGGGGGUUUGUUAAUUGUGAUCGUGGUGUAGUCGACAUCUGUGAUGUGUAACAGUGCUGACGAAGGUCAAUAAGUAGUUGUUCAAUUGACGCGUAUUGUAAU
rnacentral:lncRNA from 1 species